GGCAUUGAAAGGGCUUGGGAUAUCUUUCAGAAGCCAGCUGCCUACUCCCCUCUCCCCAGUGAAGUCCAUACAUGGACGAGGUGAUCUGCACCCACAUUGCCAUAGAAAACCAAUUUCAUGUGUGUUGGCCAGCAAAAACAACAGUUUCCCCUCACCUCUGCCUUCCAGAUGCUGCCAGGGAGCCUCUGAACCUCAGGCACAUCGGUCACCAGGAUGAUGCUGGUGUCAGCCUCCCAACCUCAGGAGGAGGCAAGAUACGUCAGAUGCUGCCCAUUCUACCCACCUUGAUCUCAUAGUAGGUGCCACAGCCAAAGCUUCCUGUGUUAGCAGGAAGUGCCCACCGGGAGACCACACUCUCACAAGGACACUAGCGUCACCCCUAGGAGGCAAUGCUAAUUCUAGGCAAUCUAGGACCUUGGGUGUCCAAAGUGGUAGUCCCCAGCCACAGAUGGCUACUGCAUAGCUGAACUGGCUGAUUCUGGAUUGAGACAUAUUCUAGAUAUAAAAUGCACACCAGACCCCAAAGCUUGGGUACAAAAGCACCUCAGUUGUUACACUGAUUACACAUUGGAAUUAUAAUAUGUGGGGUUUACAGGAUUAAAUAAAGUACAUUAUUACAAUCAACUUUAUAUCAGCAGAACUGAUAGAUAAAAUGUAGUAUGGAUGUAACACUGAAAUAUUAUUUGUCUUUAAAAAGGAAAGAAAUUCUGACAUAUAUUACAAUAUGACUGACCCUUGAUGAUAUUGUGCUAAAUGGAAUAAGUCAAUACUCAAAAAAAAAAAUACUGAAUGAUUCUAUUUAUGUGAGAUCCCCAGAGUCCCCAACCCUAAUCCUCGACCUGAUUUAGAAGAGGUGUGUGUGUGUGUGCGUGAACAAAUUAGAAUUAACAAUACACAUGUCAAAUGGCAGGUGUCUUCCCACUGCGUGCCAGCUAAACAAAAUGUUGCUUUUGAUGCAUAAUCUUUUUAAACUAAAAUUGUACUUAUUUUUGCUAAAUAAGUAGAUUUUACUGCUCAUGUCCCGAAAGUAAUUAUGUGAGAUUAUGUGAUAAUCGGCUUCACUACAGUAAUGAUUUUACUUUUUAUAUGUAUCCCAUAGCAUCAUUUGCUAAGCCACAAAUGUACACAAUAAAACAUUUUUACAAUGUUGGGUUGAACAUAUAUUAGAUUUCUGUAUACAUUUGGACCUAUCUCAAGUCAACUGAUCUGUUUCAUUUUUUUCCUGCCAAUUCUAUUCUGUCGGGUUACAGUAGUAUCAUAUUGUUUCUGUCAUAUUUUAUAUUAUUUUUUUAUAUUAUAUUAUCUUACAUUAUAUUGUUUUACCUUGUUAUAUUGUUUUACUUUAGAUAGAGCAAGAUACCCAAAUCUAUAUUCCUUGUCUAAAAUUUUCUUAGCG
rnacentral:lncRNA from 1 species